rnacentral:sRNA from 1 species
GAAAAUAAUCAUAUAUGGAAAAUUAAUAGGAGAUAUGGUUGCUGAUUUGCAUUUCAUGGUAGGAAUUUAAAGGAAUUGUAGAAUUUAUAGAUUUGUGUUAUCCACUUGACUAUUUAAAUAAAAACCAACUAUGUUUUUUAUACUAAGUUAUCUAAAUAUCCUUCUGUAGAACAUGCAACCAUUUCAAAUUAUUAAGGUUGCCACAUCCUCUCCUUAGUGUAAGAAGAAACUUCCCAAUUGAAGGUCACUGGACCUGGACAGAAAAUAGGCAAUUGCACCAUGCAUAGAAAUAUAGUAUGAAAAUAUAUUCAUCUAUUGGACUUGCAAACAAAAACUGAAGUCUGCUAUUCCAUAUUGGGAUCCAGAUAAUUACCUCAUUGUGCAGGAAGGUACUGCAAAACAUUUUCAUCAGAAAGUAACAAUUGCUUUUGUUCCCCAUAUUGCAUUGAGUCGUAGAUGUCAACUAAUAAUCUAUUAUGAAUGGUUGCAAACCUGAAAUUAGGAAUAAAUAUUUUAAUAUCAGAAUGCCCGCUAUCACUAUCAGUAAGUUCCAAAAUGCUUGAAUGAAUCACACAAUAGUAUUGGGUAAGAAAGACCAUAGAUAUUAUAGCCUUCUAUCAUAAUGAAGAAAUAAACACGGAUGGAAAAUCAAUAAAAAGAUCCAAGGCCAUAAAGAAUUGUUGAUCUAUGGGCCUAGAAUAAGCUUACUAUGUAAAAAAGCAUAUAGAGAUUAAUAAAUUAAGUCAAUCAAAAUGGAGAUAUAAAAUAAUGUACCUUUGGAGUGGCUAAAAUCAAAGGUUGGUUGUGGACUUGUGGUAAUAUGCCAAGAUUGUUAGGUUUACAUAUAAGCUUUGAUGACGUUCAUUAACAUUGCCAAUAUAAGAUUGUUCAUAAUAAACAUCAUCUAUCUAUUCUAUACUAUGUCAUUCUGCCAAUAAAAUAGUGGGCAAUGAAUAAACCAAUUAAAUAUGAUUUUGAUCUGUUGGAAAAGGAAGGACGUUGAGGAAACUACUACAGAGAUACAUAAACAUGAUAUGUUACCAUUAAACUGAACCUAUAACUAAUCUGAUAAGCAAUGUAAUGACCACAUAUAUCACCCUGGAGAAGACAACAAAAGGUCAUAUGUAUGUCGAAAUGGAAGCACAAUGUCAACACAUCAGUUAGCAAGUGGAAACUGCAAGAAGACGGUGCUAUCUUUACUUAUCACCCAUGUGGAACUGAAUGAGCAGGAAGCCUCAUCGGGGGGCUAGCAAUGUAUAUACCUGUAUGCCAUUAGGUGAAGGGCUCACAAGAGGAUCAAGAUCA